rnacentral:rRNA from 1 species
GACGAACGCUGGCGGCGUGCUUAGCACAUGCAAGUCGAGCGGUAAGGCCCUUUCGGGGGUACACGAGCGGCGAACGGGUGAGUAACACGUGGGUGACCUGCCCUCAGCUCUGGGAUAAGCCUGGGAAACCGGGUCUAAUACCGGAUAUGACUCCAUGACGCAUGUUGUGGGGUGGAAAGCCUUGUGCGGCUGAGGAUGGGCCCGCGGCCUAUCAGCUUGUUGGUGGGGNGAUGGCCUACCAAGCGACGACGGGUAGCCGGCCUGAGAGGGCGACCGGCCACACUGGGACUGAGACACGGCCCAGACUCCUACGGGAGGCAGCAGUGGGGAAUCUUGCGCAAUGGGCGAAAGCCUGACGCAGCGACGCCGCGUGAGGGAUGACGGCCU